rnacentral:rRNA from 1 species
GAUGAACGCUAGCGGCAGGCUUAAUACAUGCAAGUCGAGGGGCAGCAUGAGUAGCAAUACUUGAUGGCGACCGGCAAACGGGUGCGGAACACGUACAGAACCUUCCUUCGAGCGGGGAAUAGCCCGGAGAAAUCCGGAUUAAUACCCCAUAGUAAAUUGAAAAGGCAUUCUUUUUAAUUUUAAAGAUUUAUCACUUGAAGAUGGCUGUGCGCCUGAUUAGGUAGUUGGCGGGGUAACGGCCCACCAAGCCUUCGAUCAGUAACUGGUGUGAGAGCACGACCAGUCACACGGGCACUGAGACACGGGCCCGACUCCGUACGGGAGGCAGCAGUAAGGAAUAUUGGUCAAUGGACGCAAGUCUGAACCAGCCAUGCCGCGU